UAGAGGACAGUGGCGGACUGGUGAGUAACACGUGAGCAACCUGCCUAUCAGAGGGGAAUAACAGUGAGAAAUCAUUGCUAAUACCGCAUAUGCCAUAAAUAUCACAUGAUAAAAGUGGGAAAGGAGUAAUCCGCUGAUAGAUGGGCUCGCGUCUGAUUAGAUAGUUGGUGGGGUAACGGCCUACCAAGUCGACGAUCAGUAGCCGGACUGAGAGGUUGAACGGCCACAUUGGGACUGAGAUACGGCCCAGACUCC
rnacentral:rRNA from 1 species